rnacentral:tRNA from 1 species
GGCGGUGUAGCUCAGUUGGUUAGAGCAGCGGAAUCAUAAUCCGCGUGUCCUGGGUUCUUCCAAAGGAACUCCAGUGGAGGAAUCCCUGCUCCGCUA